UCUGUAUAUCUGUGUUUGAGGUUUUGUGCUUCUCAAUGAAUAAAAAUUUGUAUGUGUGUCUUUGAGUCAAUUUGUUCAUGUGUUUGUAUGAUAUUUCUAAUAAUAUUUUUGCUUUUGAAAUCACAGAAGCUAUGGUCUUGCUGGACAUGGCAACGACAGGACAGCAGCUCUAUACAGUGGAUUGCAUAACCAGGGAGGAACGAGAGGCUACUUCUCAGACUCUUCAAUUGAUGUACCACAAGCGAUGAGAGACCCAGACAUAUGACAAUAGAGAAGCUACGGUCUUGCUGGACAUGGCAACGACAGGACAGCAGCUCUAUACAGUGGAUUGCAUAACCAGGGAGGAACAAGAGGUAGCAUGUGUUUCUUUGCAUUAGCUGUUUUAUUUUGUAUGCUAUUUUUGUGUUUUCUCUAAUUUUGAUUGUGUUCUCAGGCCUGUAUACCUCUUCACAGGCUACUUCUCAGACUCUUCAAUUGAUGUACCACAAGCGAUGAGAGACCCAGACAUAUGACAAUAGAGAAGCUACGGUCUUGCUGGACAUGGCAACGACAGGACAGCAGCUCUAUACAGUGGAUUGCAUAACCAGGGAGGAACAAGAGGUAGCAUGUGUUUCUUUGCAUUAGCUGUUUUAUUUUGUAUGCUAUUUUUGUGUUUUCUCUAAUUUUGAUUGUGUUCUCAGGCCUGUAUACCUCUUCACAGGCUACUUCUCAGACUCUUCAAUUGAUGUACCACAAGCGAUGAGAGACCCAGACAUAUGACAAUAGAGAAGCUACGGUCUUGCUGGACAUGGCAACGACAGGACAGCAGCUCUAUACAGUGGAUUGCAUAACCAGGGAGGAACAAGAGGUAGCAUGUGUUUCUUUGCAUUAGCUGUUUUAUUUUGUAUGCUAUUUUUGUGUUUUCUCUAAUUUUGAUUGUGUUCUCAGGCCUGUAUACCUCUUCACAGGCUACUUCUCAGACUCUUCAAUUGAUGUACCACAAGCGAUGAGAGACCCCAGACAUAUGACAAUAGAGAAGCUACGGUCUUGCUGGACAUGGCAACGACAGGACAGCAGCUCUAUACAGUGGAUUGCAUAACCAGGGAGGAACGAGAGGCUACUUCUCAGAGUCUAUCUUCAAUUGAUGUACCACAAGCGAUGAGAGACCCAGACAUAUGACAAUAGAGGUGAGCAUCAUUUGUUAGGAGGAUGUAUCGUCAAAGUAAGAAAAAAAUUAAAUGUGUUUGUAUCUUCACUAAAGACUAACCAUUCUAACCUUUAAACUAAUACCAUCUGUAUAUCUGUGUUUGAGGUUUUGUGCUUCUCAAUGAAUAAAAAUUUGUAUGUGUGUCUUUGAGUCAAUUUGUUCAUGUGUUUGUAUGGAUAUUUCUAAUAAUAUUUUUGCUUAACUCAUUGCUUACUGGGGCGAUUUUUGGAGCUCAACUCCCGCCGUACGCACGGAAAUUCACCAAUUUCAAAAAAUCAUAAAAAAA